rnacentral:rRNA from 1 species
GUGGGGAAUCUUGCGCAAUGGGCGAAAGCCUGACGCAGCCAUGCCGCGUGAAUGAUGAAGGUCUUAGGAUUGUAAAAUUCUUUCACCGGGGACGAUAAUGACGGUACCCGGAGAAGAAGCUCCGGCUAACUUCGUGCCAGCAGCCGCGGUAAUACGAAGGGGGCUAGCGUUGCUCGGAAUUACUGGGCGUAAAGGGCGCGUAGGCGGACAGCUUAGUCAGAGGUGAAAGCCCAGGGCUCAACCUUGGAAUUGCCUUUGAUACUGGCUGUGUUGAGUUUGGGAGAGGUGAGUGGAACUCCGAGUGUAGAGGUGAAAUUCGUAGAUAUUCGGAAGAACACCAGUGGCGAAGGCGACUCACUGGCCCAAUACUGACGCUGAGGCGCGAAAGCGUGGGGAGCAAACAGGAUUAGAAACCUGUGUAGUC